rnacentral:rRNA from 1 species
GACGAACGCUGGCGGCGUGCUUAACACAUGCAAGUCGAACGAAGAGCGAUGGAAGCUUGCUUCUAUCAAUCUUAGUGGCGAACGGGUGAGUAACGCGUAAUCAACCUGCCCUUCAGAGGGGGACAACAGUUGGAAACGACUGCUAAUACCGCAUACGAUCUAAUCUCGGCAUCGAGGACAGAUGAAAGGUGGCCUCUACAUGUAAGCUAUCACUGAAGGAGGGGAUUGCGUCUGAUUAGCUAGUUGGAGGGGUAACGGCCCACCAAGGCGAUGAUCAGUAGCCGGUCUGAUAGGAUGAACGGCCACAUUGGGACUGAGACACGGCCCAGACUCCUACGGGAGGCAGCAGUGGGGAAUCUUCCGCAAUGGACGAAAGUCUGACGGAGCAACGCCGCGUGAGUGAUGACGGCCUUCGGGUUGUAAAGCUCUGUUAAUCGGGACGAAAGGCCUUCUUGCGAACAGUUAGAAGGAUUGACGGUACCGGAAGAGAAAGCCACGGCUAACUACGUG